AAACGCAAUAUAGUUUUGUAUUGUUACUUUAAUUUUUUUUAAAUAACCCUUGAGGUUAGAAACCAUCUUUGUGAAGUAGACCUGACAAGAGGUCAACAGGAAGUAGUCAGCAUGUAGGUGCACACAAUAAAAGAGGGGUCAACAACAUUUUCCUCCAUCAGAGUUUAAAAUUAGUUAAGUAUUACCAGAGGUGGGUGCUAGCCCUUUAAGGAAGUAUUACCAGGAGUGGAUGCUGGGCCUUUAAGUAAGUAUUACCAGAGGUGGGUGCUGGCCCUUUAAGUAAGUAUUACCAGAGGUGGGUGCUGGCUCUAAGGAAGUAUUACCAGGGGUGGAUGCUGGGCCUUUAAGUAAGUAUUACCAGAGGUGGGUGCUGGCCCUUUAAGUAAGUAUUACCAGAGGUGGGUGCUGGCCCUUUAAGUAAGUAUUACCAGGGGUGGAUGCUGGGCCUUUAAGUAAGUAUUACCAGAGGUGGGUGCUGGCCCUUUAAGUAAGUAUUACCAGAGGUGGGUGCUGGCCCUUUAAGUAAGUAUUACCAGAGGUGGGUGCUGGC